rnacentral:rRNA from 1 species
CUCCGUGACUCCUACGGGAGGCAGCAGUGGGGAAUAUUGCACAAUGGGGGAAACCCUGAUGCAGCCAUGCCGCGUGUGUGAAGAAGGCCUUCGGGUUGUAAAGCACUUUCAGUAGGGAGGAAGGUAGUGUAGUUAACACCUGCACUAUUUGACGUUACCUACAGAAGAAGCACCGGCUAACUCCGUGCCAGCAGCCGCGGUAAUACGGAGGGUGCGAGCGUUAAUCGGAAUUACUGGGUGUAAAGCGCAUGCAGGCGGCCUGUUAAGUCAGAUGUGAAAGCCCGGGGCUUAACCUCGGAAUUGCAUUUGAAACUGGCAGGCUAGAGUCUUGUAGAGGGGGUAGAAUUUCAGGUGUAGCGGUGAAAUGCGUAGAGAUCUGAAGGAAUACCAGUGGCGAAGGCGGCCCCCUGGACAAAGACUGACGCUCAGAUGCGAAAGCGUGGGGAGCAAACAGGAUUAGAUACCCUGGUAG